rnacentral:rRNA from 1 species
AACGAACGCUGGCGGCGUGCUUAACGCAUGCAAGUCGAACGUGAAAGUCCUUCGGGAUGAGUAAAGUGGCGCACGGGUGAGUAAUACAUAGGAACGUGCCUAAUGGUGGGGAAUAACCACGGGAAACCGUGGCUAAUACCGCAUGAUAUCGCGAGAUCAAAGGGGGCCUAUCCUUGGAAGCUCUCGCCAUUAGAGCGGCCUAUGUCCUAUUAGCUAGUUGGUAGAGUAAAAGCCUACCAAGGCGAUGAUGGGUAACUGGUCUGAGAGGAUGAUCAGUCACACUGGAACUGAGACACGGUCCAGACUCCUACGGGAGGCAGCAGUGGGGAAUCUUGCACAAUGGGCGAAAGCCUGAUGCAGCAACGCCGCGUGGGUGAAGAAGGUUUUCGGAUUGUAAGGCCCUUUCGGCUGGAAAGAAGGGUGGCGUGGUGAAUAUCCGCGUUGCUUGACGGUACCAGAAGAAGAAGCACCGGCUAAUUUCGUGCCAGCAGCCGCCGUAA